rnacentral:rRNA from 1 species
CCUACGGGUGGCAGCAGUCGAGAAUCAUUCACAAUGGGGGAAACACUGAUGGUGCGACGCCGCGUGGGGGAAUGAAGGUCUUCGGAUUGUAAACCCCUGUCAUGUGGGAGCAAAUUCAAAAGAUAGUACCACAAGAGGAAGAGACGGAUAACUCUGUCCCAGCAGCCGCGGUAAUACAGAGGUCUCAAGCGUUGUUCGGAAUCACUGGGCGUAAAGGGUGCGUAGGCUGUUUCGUAAGUCGUGUGUGAAAGGCGCGGGCUCAACCCGCGGACGGCAGAUGAUACUGCGAGACUAGAGUGAGGGAGGGGGAACCGGAAUUCUCGGUGUAGCAGUGAAAUGCGUAGAUAUCGAGAGGAACACUCGUUGCGAAGGCGGGUUCCUGGACAUUAACUGACGCUGAGGCACGAAGGCCAGGGUAGCGAAAGGGAUUAGAUACCCCUGUAGUC